rnacentral:rRNA from 1 species
UACGUAGGGAGCGAGCGUUGUCCGAAGUUACUGGGCGUAAAGCGCGCGUAGGCGGGCCAUUAAGUGAGAGGUGAAAUUCCAGGGCUCAACCCCGGAACUGCCUCUCAUACUGUUGGUCUUGAGUGAGGUAGAGAGAAGUGGAAUGGCUGGUGUAGCGGUGAAAUGCGUAGAUAUUAGGAAGAACACCAGUGGCGAAGGCGGCUCACUGGCCCGGUACUGACGCUGAGGCGCGAAAGCGUGGGGAGCAAACAGG